rnacentral:rRNA from 1 species
AUUGAACGCUAGCGGCAUGCCUAACACAUGCAAGUCGAGCGAGCGGCGGACGGGUGAGUAAUGUAUGGGGACUGCCCGGUAGCGGGGGAUAACUACUGGAAACGGUGGCUAAUACCGCAUACUAUCGGAUAACCCAUAUGGGAUUAGCUAGUAGGUGGGGUAAAGGCUCACCAAGGCCACGAUCCCUAGCUGGUCUGAGAGGAUGACCAGCCACACUGGGACUGAGACACGGCCCAGACUCCUACGGAGGCAGCAGUGGGGAAUAUUGGACAAUGGGGGAAAGCCUGAUUCAGCCAUGCCGCGUGUAUGAAGAAGGCCUUAGGGUUGUAAAGUACUUUCGGCGGAGAAGCGUUACCUGCAGAAGAAGCACCGGCUAACUCCGUGCCAGCAGCCGCGGUAAUUC